UCGGGCAGCUCUCCAGCUCCGCAGUGCUUGGAGCCCCGGGGGGAGCCAGUGCAGGGGUGGGGCCAGGCUAUGUGAAAAGCCUGGGAGUCCUGCAGAAUCUUUGCUUAGCCGGAGGUAAAGAUCCCUUGAAUACUGUAGGUCUCCUGUCAAGAUUCUCCGUCUCAAAAAGUGGGGCAGGACACCCCUGUUUAACCGUUGGCCGGUGUCCCGCAGCCUAGGAUGCAUUUCCAAGUCCCUCCACCGGGUAGCCUCUUAGCCUCGCCUUUCCCAGCCCGUACGAAGCCCGCGCUGCCGCCGCGGGUUCCACCGAACGCCGGGACUCCCCUGAUUGCGCAAUACAGCCUCACGCCUUCGGGCUUUUGUCCACACAGUGCUCGGUGCCCGGGCGGUCACGGUCCUGCCCGCGGGCUGGCCCCGCUUUGGAGAACUGCCAUGCUCGGUGGAAGCACCGCGUGCUCUGGGAGGUCUUCCCCAGAUCUGGGGUCCCAGGGGCUCCUUCUCCUGGCUCCCACAAUUGUCUCCCCUGGAUCGUUCCUGGGAGCACCCCCAAGGGCGUGACGGGCUUCCCGGCUCUGGCCACUAGAGGGCAGUGCGGCGCAGACGAGCGUGGGGCCCGGCCGCCGCCCGAGGGUGGCCGCUGAGCGCUGGGGUCUCCCGAGGCGGCCCCUGCCUUCUGUCCUCACACACCUCAGUGCUUGGGGUUUGCCCUACCUCCUGGGACGUCACACAGCCCCUGUGCGGCUCCCGGCCUCUGCCGCUCCGCCUUCUCUCCUUCAUGCCCAGGGCUGCCCCAGCUUCCUUCCGUGCCUGGUAGUUUUCACCGCCUUUCCUUUCCUCCGCCUCACCCCAACCUUCCUCAAGAACUUUCAGCAGCGCCUGAUUUUUUCCGUAUUAACUCUACACAUCUCAUUUGCGGUUUCCUUCGUUAAUUAACUUUGUUAAUUAAAAUACUGCCACUUCGGUAACAAUGAAAAAUGAAAGAAAAAUAAUUCCCAAGUCCA